GUAAACCGUAAGGGCAACAUAAAAACUGCUAACUUUUAUCCCCGAGACUAACCACC
rnacentral:tRNA from 1 species